GAAUAUUGGACAAUGGGGGCAACCCUGAUCCAGCCAUGCCGCGUGUGUGAAGAAGGCCUUCUGGUUGUAAAGCACUUUACGCAGUGAAGAAGACUCCAUGGUUACUACCCAUGGACGCUGACAUUCGCUGCAGAAUAAGAACCGGCUAACACUGUUCCAGCAGCCGCGGUAAUACUGAGGGUGCAAGCUAUAAUCGGAAUUAAUGGGCGUAAAGCGAGCGUAGGUAGCUUGAUAAGUCAGAUGUGAAAUCCCCGGGCUUAACCUGGGAACUGCAUCUGAUACUGUUAGGCUAGAAUAGGUGAGAGGAAGGUAGAAUUCCAGGUGUAGCGGUGAAAUGCGUAGAGAUCUGGAGGAAUACCGAUGGCGAAGGCAGCCUUCUGGCAUCAUAUUGACACUGAGGUUCGAAAGCGUGGGUAGCAAAC
rnacentral:rRNA from 1 species